UACAGAGGGGGCAAGCGUUGUUCGGAAUUACUGGGCGUAAAGGGCGCGUAGGCGGCCUUCUAAGUCAGACGUGAAAUCCCCGGGCUCAACCCGGGAACUGCGUCUGAGACUGGAAGGCUCGAAUCCGGGAGAGGGAUGUGGAAUUCCAGGUGUAGCGGUGAAAUGCGUAGAUAUCUGGAGGAACACCGGUGGCGAAGGCGGCAUCCUGGACCGACAUUGACGCUGAGGAGCGAAAGCCAGGGGAGCGAACGGG
rnacentral:rRNA from 1 species